rnacentral:misc_RNA from 1 species
GAUGAAGAACGUAGCGAAAUGCGAUACGUAAUGUGAAUUGCAGAAUUCAGUGAAUCAUCGAAUCUUUGAACGCAUAUUGCGCUCUCUGGUAUUCCGGAGAGCAUGCUUGUUUGAGUAUCAGUAAACACCUCAACUCCCUUUUCUUUUUUGAAAUUGGAGCUGGACUUGAGUGAUCCCAACGCUUUCUUCCAAGAAAGUGGCGGGUUGCUUGAAAUGCAGGUGCAGCUGAACUUUUCUCUGAGCUAUAAGCAUAUAUAUUUAGUCUGCCUAAAAAACAGAUUAUUACCUUUGCUGCAGCUAACAUAAAGGAGACUAGUUCUUGUGCUGACUGAUGCAGGAUUCACAGAGACAGCUUCGGCUGACUUUGUAAACUCGAUCUCAAAUCAAGUAAGACUACCCGCUGAACUUAAGCAUAUCAAUAAGCGGAGGA